rnacentral:rRNA from 1 species
AGAGUUUGAUCCUGGCUCAGAACGAACGCUGGCGGCGCGUCUUAAGCAUGCAAGUCGAACGGCAAGAUACCUUCGGGUAUCCUAGAGUGGCGGACUGGUGAGUAACGCGUGGAUGACGUACCCUCGUGACGGGGAUAGCCGGUAGAAAUACCGGGUAAUACCGGAUAAGGUCUCACGGAAUAAAGGCGUGAGAGGAAAGCAGCGUAUGCUGUGCAGGAGGAACGGUCUGCGGCCUAUCAGCUGGUUGGCAGGGUAAAGGCCUACCAAGGCGACGACGGGUAUCCGGCCUGAGAGGGUGGACGGACACAUUGGGACUGAGAUACGGCCCAGACUCCUACGGGAGGCAGCAGCUAAGAAUAUUCCGCAAUGGGGGGAACCCUGACGGAGCGACGCCGCGUGGACGAUGAAGGUCGGAAGAUUGUAAAGUCCUUUUAUACAUGAAGAAGAAGUUAUACAGGAAAUGGUAUGAUGGUGACGGUAGUGUAUGAAUAAGCACCGGCUAAUUACGUGCCAGCAGCCGCGGUAACACGUAAGGUGCGAGCGUUGUUCGGAAUUAUUGGGCGUAAAGGGCAUGCAGGCGGUCGUGCAAGCCCGGCGUGAAAGGCGGGGGCUCAACUCCCGAACUGCGCUGGGAACUGUAAGGCUUGAGUUUCUGAAGGGUAGUCGGAAUUCCACGUGUAGGGGUGAAAUCUGUAGAUAUGUGGAAGAACACCAAUGGCGAAGGCAGGCUACCGGCAGAAGACUGACGCUGAGGUGCGAAGGUGCGGGGAGCAAACAGGAUUAGAUACCCUGGUAGUCCGCACAGUCAACGAUGUGCACUAGAUGUCUGUCCAUGAGGGUGGGUGUCAAAGCAAACGCGAUAAGUGCACCGCCUGGGGAGUAUGCCCGCAAGGGUGAAACUCAAAGGAAUUGACGGGGGCCC